UGGGGAAUUUUGCGCAAUGGGCGAAAGCCUGACGCAGCAACGCCGCGUGAGUGAUGAAGGCUUUCGGGUCGUAAAGCUCUGUCAAGGGGAAAGAAGUGUAUUGUGGUUAAUACCCAUGAUGCUUGACGGUACCCCUAAAGGAAGCACCGGCUAACUCCGUGCCAGCAGCCGCGGUAAUACGGGGGGUGCAAGCGUUGUUCGGAAUUAUUGGGCGUAAAGAGCGUGUAGGCGGCGUGAUAAGUCAGAUGUGAAAUCCCUGGGCUCAACCCAGGAAGUGCAUUUGAAACUGUCUUGCUUGAGUACGGGAGAGGGAAGAGGAAUUCCUGGUGUAGAGGUGAAAUGCGUAGAUAUCCGGAGGAACACCAGUGGCGAAAGCGGCCUCCUGGGCCAUUUCUGACGCUAAGACGCGAAAGCUAGGGUAGCAAACG
rnacentral:rRNA from 1 species